GAUGAAGAACGUAGCGAAAUGCGAUAAGUAAUGUGAAUUGCAGAAUUCAGUGAAUCAUCGAAUCUUUGAACGCACCUUGCGCCCUUUGGCCAUUCCGAAGGGCAUGCCUGUUUGAGUAUCAUGAACACCUCAACUCUUCAUGGUUUCCCGUGAUGAGCUUGGACUUUGGGGGUCUUGCUGGCCUAUGGUCAGCUCCUCUAAAAUAAAUCAGCUUGCCAGUGUUUGGUGGGUAUCACAGGUGUGAUAACUAUCUACGCUUGUGGUUUUCCACCAGGUAACCUUCAGCAGUGGAGGUUCGCUGGAGCUCACAGAUGUGUCUCUCCUCAGUGAGGACAGCUCUUUGAAUGUUUGAUCUCAAAUCAGGUAGGACUACCCGCUGAACUUAAGCAUAUCAAUAAGCGGAGGA
rnacentral:misc_RNA from 1 species